GUGAGCUCUUGCCAAGAGAACAGAUGGCCAGGCUGUGUCCAGCUUUAUCUCCUAAGGAGGUAUAUUUCCUUUUGCAGCUCACAACCUCCAAGAACAAGUGGCCUAUGAGACAAGAAUUUGGCAUUGGCUGGUCAAAAUUUCUCCAAACCAGUUUCUCUAUAGGCAUCAGGAAAAUUGAAGAGAAAUAGAAGAUAAGAAGGGGGAAAAAACUACGGUAAAACGCAAGACAAAAAAUGAAAACAGAGGAUGUAGUAUUUGGAACAAAUCCUUUCUACCAAGUAUUAAUGAAUUCCCACACCAUGAGAAAUGUGCUUAAGCCCAAUUCUAACAUGUCUAAUUUAGGUGCUAAUAAAUAAUUAUUUGCUUUAAUAUACUCCUUUCUUGCAAAAGUUUUAUGUAGUAAUAAUAAUAAUACUAAUAAGUUGCUAACAUGUACUGAAUGCAUACCGUGUGCUUGGCAUUGCUGUUUCACAUAUAUUAACUUAUUCUUCACAACCACCCUAUGAGGUAGAUACUAUUUUAUUAUCCCCAUUUUAUAGAUGAGGAACUGAGACACUGAUAAAUGAAGUAAUUUUCCUCUUGUCCCAAACCACUAGGAAAGAGUAAAUCUAAGAUUCUUCCUUUCAUCUUCAUAAUCCCUUCAGGUAGAUAAGAGUAUCCCCACCUUACAAGUGAGGCUCACUGAAGCCAUGUGAUUAGCCCAAGGCAUCAAAUAACAGCAGAUCUAGUAAGAGAAGAAGGAGGAUUGGGACUGGGUCUCUCCACACAUCUGACAGGUUGUCUCCCAGAAAGUGGGGCCAUGGCCAUCCCUCAUUCCGUGAAGUAUUCCUUCAGAGGAGUCUUAACUGAGUUCCUGGAAAACUCAAUCGCGAACAGUGAAAAGAGAUCUAUUCUGGAUAAUUUUGGUCUGGAAUACAUUUCCAGUCACUUUGAUCUGAUAAAUAUCAGACAAGACUCAGAAAUACUAAUAUACACUUAUUAAGAAUUCAAUCAACUAAAAAUCCCAACCUAUAGAAAGUUUUGUUUACAUACUAUUGUUAUAAAACCCAAAUCACAAGGAAAGAUGCUGAUUAAAGAAACUUGUCUUCAAACCAACUUUUGUUCUUAUAUCUUCUUUAGUAUGUCCUAUGUUACUUUUGCCCUUGACCUUCACUUUUAGUUGUAUUAAAUGAAAAGCAGACUUGGAAGAUUCUUCUAAAUCAGUGAUAACCAAUACAUAACCAGUGGCCACCACCCUCCUCUUGUGUCUGUGGCAGAUAUAAAUUGCUCACAAGCUCUUUCAUUCUGAUCCAUAAGAAUCUAUCUCAGCACCAUACUCCCAGCAGCCCUUACCAAUCAAAAACAAUUGGUAAGCAUGUUAAAACCUACUUGUAACCUUUAUUCUAGAGAUGUUUAGUAUCUGUCUCCUCU
rnacentral:lncRNA from 1 species